rnacentral:lncRNA from 1 species
CCUUAGGGCACUGUCAUUUAAAUAUUAUGAAUUAAUCUUGUGUGGUAUCAUUUGGUACAAAUUAUUUUCCAGCUUGACCAGCAAGAAAUCUUGAGACUUUCUCAGAAUUCUUGUUCAAGUCAAGAUUCCCUAUAUCUUUCUAGUCACCUAACUCAAUAUUCCUAUCAAAAUAAGAUGAAUCUGAUGAGAUUUUUUUUAAAAAGUGAAGUUAGGCUGGCUUGUUUCCUAAUGGGCUGAGAGGACAUAUUCCCAUUCCAGAAUUUUGAAGAAUCUAAGUGCACACAACACAGUGCCUAAAGCAUGUCAGCUGUCUGUUUCAGAUGCUCGUCCUACCAUGUGUAGCAUGGCGAAGACAGGAGUCAGAGGUUGGGAAGUUUAGCUAGGUGAAAAAGUCUGCCCUAGGGCAUGCCCUUCCCACUACUGGAGAGCAGUUGCUUUACAUUUUGUUUUACCUAGCUUUUUGUAAAUAUUUCUCCCUUCCUGGGUUACUUGUGAUCAAGGGGCAUGGACUUACUCAUCUCUUAUAAUUCCAAUCAGUGCAUGACACAUCAUAGCUGAUCCUCAAUUAUGUUUUAAGUUAAUGUACUCAAGGUUUAUUUGUCAAUUGAAUGCCUAACCUAUUACAAUUAAGGAGAGAGAAUACUAUCACCUUUCAGUCCAGGUGUAUGGCAAAUGGAGAUGUCUAUAGGUAUUAGGACAUCCCUAGAAACUUUCAGAAAGGCAUUGGAGGAAUGCCUCCUUAAACAGUAUGAAACUCCAGUGAUUAGCAAUGGAGUCUAAUGAAUGAGAAGCAGUAUAAUGGCUUUCUCAAAAUAUUGGGAAAUUCAUGAUCUUUUUCUCUCCUUUAUCAUUCCUAGGGUUUUGGAAAUCUGGAUUGUAGCAGGGCAUUAUAAGUUAAAAAAUCAUCUUCCCAUUCUGUUCUUUGCAAAGAUAUUUCUGUUCCUUAAAUUUGUUGAGGGUAAGAGAUUGCAGAUUGCUUCUGUGGACUUCUUGAAGAGACAAGGUCUUUGUCUGUUGCUCAGGAUGGAGUGUAGUGGUGCCAUAGCACACUGUAAUCUUGAAUUUCUGGACUACUGGCAUACACCACCAUGCUUAGGUAAUUGUUUCUUAUUUUUUGUAGUGACAGGGUCUUACUAUGUUGCCCAGGCUGGUCUCAAACUCCUGACCUCAGGUGAUCCUCCCACCUUAGCCUCCCAAAAUGCUAGGAUUAUAGGCAUGAGCCACCAUGCCCAGCC